GACAGAGGGGGCAAGCGUUGCUCGGAAUCACUGGGCGUAAAGGGCGCGUAGGCGGGAUGGCAAGUCAGUCGUGAAAUCUCUCGGCUCAACCGAGAAACGUCGGCUGAUACUGCCGUUCUUGAGGGAUGCAGAGGAGACUGGAAUUCCCGGUGUAGCGGUGAAAUGUGUAGAGAUCGGGAGGAACACCGGUGGCGAAGGCGGGUCUCUGGGCAUUUCCUGACGCUGAGGCACGAAGGCCAGGGGAGCAAACGGG
rnacentral:rRNA from 1 species